rnacentral:rRNA from 1 species
UACGAAGGGGGCUAGCGUUGUUCGGAAUUACUGGGCGUAAAGCGCACGUAGGCGGAUCGAUCAGUCAGGGGUGAAAUCCCAGGGCUCAACCCUGGAACUGCCUUUGAUACUGUCGAUCUGGAGUAUGGAAGAGGUGAGUGGAAUUCCGAGUGUAGAGGUGAAAUUCGUAGAUAUUCGGAGGAACACCAGUGGCGAAGGCGGCUCACUGGCUCGGUACUGACGCUGAGGUGCGAAAGCCAGGGGAGCAAACGGG